AGUUCAAGUCUCUCCCCUGGAGCUGGAUGUUCCAGAAAGGACACUCAGUUCUUCAGGGCUGUCUCUGUGAUCCAGGCUUUGAUCUGGGAAAGGUUGCGCCUCAUUGCAGAGUUGAAGCUAUCUGCCUGCUUUGUUUACACGAACGCCCUUCCAGGACUCUGUCUGCUUUUGGGGUGGAAGUGCCCUGCCAAAAACUCCAGCUCUCCAUGCUGGCUGUGUGGCCAGCAUACCUCCUGCCUUUUCAACGAUUCCUCUGCCCUGGAUAGAGAGCGGUGUCUCAUAACAGUUUGGAAACUACAAAAGUUUCCCUGGCAGGAUGAAUGAUUGACUCGGCAACAUGUUCUUGCCUUUUGGAGUUGCCCUCCAAUUUUUCCAGGCUUGAUUCUGUAAAUCAUUUCAUCUUGUAAAAAUACUGGGCUGUGAGCACGGAUGAUCUCAAAGAUGAGGAAACAGAAGCUGGGAUAUGUGAGUAAACAUUUCCAAGGUCCUGCAGCUAAUCAAUGGUUGACAACUUCUUUCCUCUGCCUAUGUUGCCAUCCAUGUCAUGGUUUGUGUCAAGACUCUAGGAGAAGUCUACCAUCAGCACCACAGCUACUGUGCACAAAUCCAGAAUGCCAGACUGAAGUCAGAAGGAAAGAGAUGAUGCAGCUCAUUGCUGAUGCUGAGAUCCAACGUCCAGUGCCUGAGUACCCCUGGAUUCUGAGCACUAGGGGCUGGACUGUGGAGACCAUCAGUUCAUAACAUCCUGUCCCUGCUCCCUGCUGUAGAUGACUGAGACCAGGAAAAAAAGCAUCUCUCUGAAGUUAAAUGGCAUUUCAUUUUGAUUAAUUGUAGAAAGAAGAUUGGAAAAAUCUCCCAUGACCAAGGAAAAUUGUGAAAAAUAUUUCUGAUAUUUUGUCUAUGCAUUUUAUUUUUGAGGGUGUUUUUUAUAUUAGUGUGACUAUUUUGUAUUUCCUACCCUGUUGUAAACUUUUUAAAAAUUGCUCUUACAGUUAUUACUAAGUAUAUGAUUUAAAAUCCCUAAUUAGGGUUCUUAAACAAGGGAGAAGCACUCUCAUACCCCUAGAACAAGAUGAACAAAAGAAGGAGGAAAAAUCUUGACCUCCGUAAGAUCCAGGAUGGCACGUGCAAGGCACUGACACAGCAUCUGCCGGCAUCACUGACUCUCCUGGACCCCAGAAGCCCAGUUCCCCAGGCUCUGAAACCCUGCAGCAAUGAAAAGGAAGCACAGGCAAACCAUAAGGAAGAUAAUUUUUCUACUAAAAAAUAAAUAGAAAUGCAUCCUUAGAGGCAGGUUUCAUGAGGACACAGAGAAUCCGGUUUUGUGUGUGCCUGAUUUCGUUUUUCUGUCAAAGAGAUACAAAACAAUCAACUGAGUUAUCUUGAACUUACAAAGAUUAAAAAUAAUCAAUUCCUGUUACUAUUUUCAAUUUUUCCCCCAUUUUACUUCUUUAGGUAUGAAGAAAUGUAGCCUAUUAAAACCUGGAUUAAUAAAAACCUUUCAUUAACUUUUAGAA
rnacentral:lncRNA from 1 species